rnacentral:lncRNA from 1 species
AUGGCAGUUCAUGGAUAAAUCAUCAAACCUAAUCAUCAGUCAUAUGAUAGAUUUGAUCAGUUCAAGUCCAAUUAUGAUCCUUAUGAAAAUUUUUUUCUAUUAAUCACACUACUGUGGCCACAGACUCUCAGAUUUAGCCUCUCAAAUCUCAUAAGACUACUCCUCUCUUUCAAGUUCAAAAGAUCCCAUCUUGAUGCAUACCCUACUCCUACA